rnacentral:rRNA from 1 species
CCUACGGGAGGCAGCAGUGGGGAAUAUUGGGCAAUGGGCGCAAGCCUGACCCAGCAACGCCGCGUGAAGGAAGAAGGCUUUCGGGUUGUAAACUUCUGUUAUCAGGGACGAAGCAAGUGACGGUACCUGAUGAAUAAGCCACGGCUAACUACGUGCCAGCAGCCGCGGUAAUACGUAGGUGGCAAGCGUUAUCCGGAUUUACUGGGUGUAAAGGGCGUGUAGGCGGGUGUGCAAGUCUGAUGUGAAAACUCUGGGCUCAACCCCGAGCCGUCAUUGGAAACUGGACUUCUUGAGUGCUGGAGAGGAAAUCGGAAUUCCGGGUGUAGCGGUGAAAUGCGUAGAUAUACGGAGGAACACCAGUGGCGAAGGCGGAUUGCUGGACAGUAACUGACGCUGAGGCGCGAAAGCGUGGGGAGCAAACAGGAUUAGAUACCCUGGUAGUC